ensembl:lncRNA
AGUCAACAUGCAACAUUUCAGUGUUGAGUGCUUAGCAUGGUUAGAAUGCUUAGAAUCCUUACCAGCGAGAUUUGGAAAAGAUCAUCAGCUGCUGCAGAAAGGGAUGGUCACUUGACUGUGUCUUUCAUGAGUGACACGUGGGAUGUGACCCUGUAAGAUCAUUUAUAUUUCAGCUCUCACUUUUGGUUUUGUUCCCUCCAGGAACAGCCGGUCAGAUGGCAAAGCCAGUCACCACUGUGCAGCUCAAGAUUGAUUUGGAGAAUCUCACAGUGCAGGUGAAGUGGCACAAUCCUGAAUGUCUGGAAGGGGAGAAUCAAACCAACACUGAGUCUCUGGUAGAAAAAUGUAUGAAUUUCACCAGCUCAAACCUGUGUACAGCCCACACAGGAAUCUGUGUGUCUGGGGUUGUCAUCACAACACCAAACUCAAGAGAUGCUGGAAAUCAAACCAACACUGUGUUUCUGGCUGGAAACUGUAUGAAUUUCACCAGCUCAAGGCUGUGUACACUCUGCACAGGAAUCUGUGUGUGCAGGGUCUUCAUCACAAGACCAAACUCGACAGAUGCUGGAAACAGCACGCAAGCAGCAAAUCUCAGCUCUGGCUGUGCAGGAUCUCAGACUGAUGUCACAGUCAAGAUCUGGAAAGGACUCCUGUGCAUCCUCCUUGGCUUCGCGGCUGGGACGCUCCUUUACAUGCCCAUAAUUGGCUUCCUGCUGUGCCAGUGCAGAAGGAACAGAACAGGAGAGCUCAUAAGCGUGGAAGUGACAGAGGAGAAUCAAGUCAGUACGGCAGCCCCGGUGACAGGAACUGAGGAUCUGACCUAUGCCAACCUGAAAUUUGAAAAGAAGGGGACAGGAUCUGCCUCCUCCAAUGUCAUUUACACUGAGAUCAAGCCAUUGCAACAGAAGCAGAGUGGUGGGGAUGGCAGCGCUGCCUGCACUGAGGUGGAUGUCUCCCCCAAGGAAGAGGGCAAGUGAGGGAGGUGAGCAGCUUAUUGUCCACCUGUUGGGGUCUUCCUCCUCAAAACUAGCUGUUAGCUCACACAGCAGUGCAGUCUUGGGGAUCACCUAUUACCCCUGAGUGGCUGCAGAACCCUGCUUUAUGUUCCCCUGGAAGAAGCCAUGUGAGGACAGGGCUCUUGAGCCCAUUUUCCCCUUGCCUUCUGCAGCUCCAAGCACUGCCAAGCUUCAGCAAUUAUUUUCACUGUCUCCAGUUGCUGACAGGCUCCUCCUGCUGCUUGUUCCAUGCUCAGGAAUGUCACUGUACACUGUGUGGCCAGCAUGGUGUUCAGGAAGAGCUUGGUCCUGGAUGUGCUGGGUGGCACAUGCUGGCCAUCCAGAGAAGUCCUGGAUCAAUAUUCUGGAUUUUCUCUGGAGCAGGCACCUGCUGUGAAGUGCCUUUGUUUCAUUCACUCACUUGAAGCACAAGGGGCAAAGAUGGAAAAGCAUUGCUUGCUUCACAGAGGUGCUGCUGCAGUGAUGCACAUGGAUCUGCUUUGUACUGGGAGUAGCUGGGUGUUUUUGCUGGCUUGGUGGUGAAUACCCUUCUCCUGGGUAGAGCACUCUCUUUUGUGCCCUUUUAUUGAUAAUGUUGUGUUUAUUGUGAAUUUUUCAGUAAAAUUAUCAUUCCUACAUGUGGUCUCAC